GAUGAACGCUGGCGGCGUGCAUAAUACAUGCAAGUCGAGCGAACGGACGAGAAGCUUGCUUCUCUGAUGUUAGCGGCGGACGGGUGAGUAACACGUGGAUAACCUACCUAUAAGACUGGGAUAACUUCGGGAAACCGUAGCUAAUACCGGAUAAUAUUUUGAACCGCAUGGUUCAAAAGUGAAAGACGGUCUUGCUGUCACUUAUAGAUGGAUCCGCGCUGCAUUAGCUAGUUGGUAAGGUAACGGCUUACCAAGGCAACGAUGCAUAGCCGACCUGAGAGGGUGAUCGGCCACACUGGAACUGAGACACGGUCCAGACUCCUACGGGAGGCAGCAGUAGGGAAUCUUCCGCAAUGGGCGAAAGCCUGACGGAGCAACGCCGCGUGAGUGAUGAAGGUCUUCGGAUCGUAAAACUCUGUUAUUAGGGAAGAACAUAUGUGUAAGUAACUGUGCACAUCUUGACGGUACCUAAUCAGAAAGCCACGGCUAACUACGUG
rnacentral:rRNA from 1 species